rnacentral:rRNA from 1 species
UACGUAGGGUGCAAGCGUUGUCCGGAAUUAUUGGGCGUAAAGAGCUCGUAGGCGGUCUGUCGCGUCUGCUGUGAAACUCGGGGCUCAACUCCGAGCUUGCAGUGGGUACGGGCAGACUAGAGUGCGGUAGGGGAGACUGGAAUUCCUGGUGUAGCGGUGGAUGCGCAGAUAUCAGGAGGAACACCGGUGGCGAAGGCGGGUCUCUGGGCCGUAACUGACGCUGAGGAGCGAAAGCAUGGGGAGCGAACAGG